AGGGUGCAGGUGGAAAAUAUGGGGUGUAGUAAGAAACUGCCCCUUAUUUGUCCUUGACCCAACACAAACAAAAACUAAUAAUAAAUAAUGAUUUGCACGCAUUUUCUGCGUUUGGUUGGAGACAGGAGCCAGAAGCGCGUCGAUCAACUAGCCACACAAUAACCAGGACGAUGAGGAUCUUCGGCAAACACGUUUUCCCGAGCCAGAUUAUACUUUUUGCUUCUGGGCUUUUGUUCUUUGCAUCAACAACCUAUGAUGUCCAUAGAUCCAUCAAGAACAACCAAACACCCCCUUCCCAAGAACAAGUGAAAGCCCUUCAAGACUACAUCGAAUCUGCGCGUCGCUCCCGUUAAAUCAACGGCAUGUAUUUUGCCACGUCAUCUUAUCAACACAUGCUUUAUAAUGUGAACUUCACAUUCUUGGCAUAUGAGCUAUUUUGAGCAAAAAAAAAAAAGUGGUUUUAUCUGUAAGAAAGUGAAAAAUAAGCUAAGUUCGUGUUCUGAUCCAGAAAAAGGUAAACAAAAUAAAAAUAAUGGCCCAUGCAGGUCUCGAACCUGCGACCUUCGCGUUAUUAGCACGACGCUCUAACCAGCUGAGCUAAUAGGCCCUUUUGUAAUAAGUAACGUGUUCUCUAAAUUUAUCCUAUUUCAAUCA